rnacentral:rRNA from 1 species
CCCUUAGACGUUCUGGGCCGCACGCGCGCUACACUGACUACUUCAACGAGUUGUUUCCUUGAUCGAAAGGUCUGGGUAAUCUUUGAAAGGUAGUCGUGAUGGGGAUAGAUCCUUGCAAUUUUUGAUCUUCAACGAGGAAUUCCUAGUAAACGCAAGUCAUCAGCUUGCAUUGAUUACGUCCCUGCCCUUUGUACACACCGCCCGUCGCACCUACCGAUUGAAUGGUCCGGUGAAUCUUUAGGACUGUGGCUGAGGCCUUGCCUUGUGCGGGUCUGGCCGUGGGAAUUUAGUUAAACCUUACCAUUUAGAGGAAGGUGAAGUCGUAACA